rnacentral:rRNA from 1 species
CUAGCAAGUCAAACCUUACAAAAAGAAUUUAGCAAGAUCCCCCGAAACCAAGCGAGCUACCUUUGGGCAACACAUAUGAACAACCCGUCUCUGUGGCAAAAGAGUGGGAAGACCCAUAGGUAGAGGCAAUAAACCUAACGAGCCUGGAUAUAGCUGGUUGCUUGAGAAAGAAUUUAAGUUCACAUAAAAGCAAACAUAACAAUAAGAAAAAUAUAAGCUUUUAUUUUAAUCAAUCGAGUUACAGCUCGAUUAAUAAGGGAAACAUCCCAAAUAAAUGAAUAAGGAUUAUAUUAUUUAAGAAAAAUUUGAGCCCAGUAGGCCUAAAAGCAGCCACCUAAACAGCGUUAAAGCUUAACUCAAACUACAUCUACCAUCUCAAUAAAAAAAUCUUAAUUCAACAUAAUAAUCAAGCCAAUCUAUUUAUAGAUGAACUACUACUAGAAUGAGUAAUAAGGACAUAUCCUCUACAAUACAGGUGUAAAUCAGAACGAACAAUCGCUGAUAAUUAAUGAACAUAUUUACAAAAACAAGAACUUAAUAAUAAAAACCAUUAAACCAACACAGGAGUAUUUAAGAAAGACUUAAAACUUAGAAAGGAACUCGGCAAACCCAGGCUU